GCAGGGGUGAUCUUAGCUGGUGCUGUGUGCAGACUUCAAAUCUGUAGGCCAUUCGCGUGGCAGGAGUUCGAUUCUCCCUCCCGUGCG
rnacentral:tRNA from 1 species